AAAUCUUUCUUUGCAUGUACUUUAAGUAAUUAUUAUGUUUUAGCCUCAGUCCGACACAUAAAAUGCAUAUCGGCGAGCUUAGCGUUCCUGUAGCAAUGCAUACCACUCGCUGUUCUUACGAUGAAUAACAAUUUACGCCAGCGCAAUAAUUUUGUCCACAGCUCAACAGCUUCCUGUACUAUUUUCAUCUUUGAAUCAUCCUUGAAUGGGAGAUAAAAUUCUGACUUCAUCUUGCAGUCGCUCGUCCAGUCCCAUUUUAAUUUGUUCAUUUUCCCUUUUUUUAUCCAAGUAAAGUUCUUCGGGAAUAUUCGAGUUCGCUGUUUGCAAGCAAGAUGAUCUUUAUCUGAUUACUAGCAACUUUAUUCGUAUCAUUUGAAUAUAUCUUACGACACCGUACCGGAGAAGGUUAAAUUUCAGCACUGAGCAGAGUUUCAAGGCAGUGUGUAUAGAUUCCCUACCGUCACAAAAUCGAAAGAUGGGGUUUGGUAGCUCAAUUGAAUAUCGCUCACCAUUGCUGAACUAAUUUGAUCUACUUACAAAUCCUGUAACAAAUGAUGUGCUUAUAAAAGCCCGAGUGAAUAAGACGGCAAAGCCUUGAUAAUUUGUCUUCGACUGCAUAGAACUUCCUGAAUGUGUAAAAUCGAUUUGUGAGUUUUUUCUUGAAAGCUGAUUUAACACAGAAUCGAGAAAAUUGAAAUCUAGGUUUUCUUCAAUAUGUCAAACGUGUAAGAAGAAGCAGAAUGUUUCGCUCUUGUAGAUGACAGAAAUGAAUUGUUCUGUACCUUGA